ACAGUCAGUCACGGUGGUGGGAUGUGGCAAUGUCUGUGUGUGUGGCGUCGAGAGUGACAAAGUUUUCCACCUACUCAUAUAUCCUCUAUGGUGUCCUGGGCGAGGCUGCACGAGGUCGAAGAUCUAGUUUCGGUUAUUCAUAGUUUGGGCUUCGUUUUGCUGCUUGGCUCAGCUCCGUCUCGUCUGAGUGAAAGCACGAGAAAAGAGGAAGACGUUGGGCGCGUCCUGACAACGGCGGUGACACUUGCAAGACUAAGGUCAAAGUGAGAGACGUAAUCACGCCGGAACCUGCGAAAUCCAGGAACGACUGUGCUUACACUUUCCCUUUGGUGGCCUCGUGUGACAGAUUACAAUGAAGAGAAGGUCCCGAGCCUACACGGAGAGGGUGGAGAAUGCAGCGAGGGCCAGGGAGAGCAAGAAAAAGGGAGAGGAGGCUCCAGAUCCAGACCCCACGACUACCACCGAAGCCGCCGCCAGCACAGGCGCCGCCGCCAGCCCCAGGACAAAACCUCCCCACUCCAGCACACAACCUCACCCCCACACAACCCCAACACCACAGGUCAAAAAGGUAACUCCAAUUUCAGUUCGAGAUAAUUUGCUCACUGAUGUGUCUGUGCCAUCUACAUCAAAGAGGGAAAAUGUUCUUAUUGAAAAAGAUGUACUCAAAUACAUGUUUGCAGCUAUUUCACAUGUAUGCAAUGACUGCAUGGGUAAACUCCAAUUGAAUAUCAGUAGCAAAUCAGCACUCCUAUUUGGAGGUAAAAUGUAUGAAUUGUGAGGCUGUGCAGUUCUCCUCCUCACCCAUGACAGGGGAAAAACCAUCCCUUACUGAAAAUAAUAUUAGCAUUGUAGGGUAUGCACUGCUCGAAGGUACUGGUUAUGCCGGCUAUUCAUUUCUAACAUCAACAAUGAAGAUCAAACCUCUUCAUAGGAGGGCAUACUAUGAAGUACUUGAUUAUAUUGGAAGCAAGAUCCUGUCACAACAGGAAAAAAGGAGAGCAGCUAUUUAUUUAUUUAUUUUUUAUUUUUUACGUCGCGGCCUAUAGCGCCGGUAGGCUUUUUCCCGGUGGGUCCUGAUGGUCGGCCCAAGGCUUCUUCCCGGUGGGUCCUGAUGGUCGGCCCAGCCCGUUCUGGCGCAGGCGAGUGUUUAUAGUGGCGCCAUCUUGCAUUGGCUCAUGCUGCCCUCCCGGAGCUCAUCUUUAAUCCUAGAAUCUAGAGUCCGGGUUGAUAGGUGGUCUUCUGGACAGCAUGUGG